ensembl:lncRNA
CCAUCUUGUGUGGGUCUUGAGUAGGCAUUCUCAGACUGUCAGACAGCCACAAAUACAUAUGGUCACAGCUAAUUUCUCAGCUCAAAAAAAAUGCCAGUUCAUUGUGCUGCUUUCGGGUGUGUACACCGACGUUCAGUACACACCAGACGAGAGGGAAUCACUUUCCACAGGCUUGGGUGUUGCCUGUGAACGGGUGAUGAUGAUCUGAAGAGGAUCGGUGGGUGAUCUUAAACUAUUGGAAGGAAGCAGGGAGGGAGAGAGUACCUGACGGCCUGAGACUCUCUACUGUUGCCGGUGGACAGAGCGGCCCUGUGGUGGUGCGUAGCGAGCUGUAGGGUGAAGAUAUUCUUCCCCUGCAGAUCUUGCUUCAGGCUAUCCACCAUAUCAAAAAGGGCACCAUUUAUUGCCUCCAGUUCAUGACAUUUUGGCUCUUGUGCAGCCCUCCUCAGGGAGUCCAGGCGGUGGGAUGUGGUCCGCUUCAACGUAACCCUUGUCCCCAUCUUUACCCUUGGAGAAGUCCCUGUGGUCUCUGACACUGAAAGCACUGAACAUCUGGUUUACCAAAACAUAUUGUGACAAUUUCCUUCUGGCGCAUUGUGGAUUGCAGGGUCCCACAUCUGCCUGAUUAGAUAUGUGUCAAGAUUCAAGUGUGGCAGUUUCCAACCUAAUCUGUACAACCAGCCUGGUUGUACUGGUUGUACCUGAUUGUACGACCUAAUUAGGUCGUUCUGCUAGUUCAUGUGGUCGGGAAUAUGUCCCUUGUCUGAAUUGACGUAUGCCCGAUCAAACAACCUAAAAUUACGUCCUUGAGUUCUGUACUAUUAUAUGUUACAAUAAGAUAUUGAGGUCUGGGGCACAUCUGAGGAAAGGCAGUGUAGAAGUGAUUGAGAGUCAAUGGGGAUUUACCAUAAAAUGAUGUAGGACAAGAUAUAAAAUUGACAUAAUCUAGUUGGUUAUAUCCCCUUUACAGAAUCAGCAUGUGUCGACAUGUGUUAGGAACUCCCUCUUUAUUGAUCAACUGUGCCACUGAUCAAUCAAUACUUUUCAAGUGACGCGUCAUCCCCUUUUGACUCCUGACAGCUGCUAAAGAAGAACGUGAAGUAUUGCAUUACUGAAUCUCUGUGUAUCUACUCCUAUUAAAAGAUGUACCUGUAAUGUAAAUUGCAAAGAUGCAAACCCUACAUUUUGAAUGAUAAAAAUGUCAUAACCAUCAUUUUUAAUAUCUCAAAUUGAAAUUCCCAGAUAAGAGGGCAAGACAAAUACGUUAAAAAAUAUUUUUUAGCCCCAUUUUUAACAAGAUCAGACUGGUGCUUACUGAUUACAAGUGUGGCCAAUCAUAGUGUGACUGUGAACCAUGCUGAUGAAGAAAAUGGAUAAUUAGCCACACAGCUCAGCUACAUGGACUACUGUAUAGUAUCCACAUUCCAUAGAGAAAGCUCCUCUCCAUCCAGUGUUUUGUUUCGGAGCCUCACCAGUAGCUUCCAGUGCCAGUCCAACAGGGAACAGCCUCCAGUUGGUGUCCCUGAUAACUCUGUCCUGAGCCCUGUUUCAGGUAGCUGGUUUUGAGGCAACCCCGAGUUUGUUCGCUCUGAGUUAGUGGAAACUCUGGGUUUUCCGUUUCAGGUAGCAGGUUCAGCGCAACCGAGAGUUAGUUGCUGCGGCAACAUACGCCGUGGACCUAACCUGCUCGGGAGGUGGUUAGACCUACUCUGAGUUUGUUGGCUGAAGGCAGCUCUCCGACAGAAGGAAGUGUUAGAAAUGGCAUGUCCUUUUCUACGAGAGCCUGUGGACGUAGAGGCUGCGAUCCUCAGAAGGAAUCUCCGUGAGGAACGAUUAUUAAGACCCCGG